rnacentral:rRNA from 1 species
GAUGAACGCUGGCGGCGUGCUUAACACAUGCAAGUCGAGCGAAGACAUCUGAGUGCUUGCACUUGGAUGGACUGAGUGGCGGACGGGUGAGUAACGCGUGGGUAACCUGCCUUAUACAGGGGGAUAACAGUUGGAAACGACUGCUAAUACCGCAUAAGCGCACGGUAUCGCAUGAUACAGUGUGAAAAACUCCGGUGGUAUAAGAUGGACCCGCGUCUGAUUAGCUUGUUGGUGAGGUAACGGCUCACCAAGGCGACGAUCAGUAGCCGGCCUGAGAGGGUGAACGGCCACAUUGGGACUGAGACACGGCCCAAACUCCUACGGGGGGCAGCAGUGGGGAAUAUUGCACAAUGGGGGAAACCCUGAUGCAGCGACGCCGCGUGAGUGAUGAAGUAUUUCGGUAUGUAAAACUCUAUCAGCAGGGAAGAUAAUGACGGUACCUGACUAAGAAGCA